GAUUUUUUUAUUUAUAGAAUAAUAUAUUGAAAUAUUUAUAUGAAAUAAACUUCCAAUAUUUAUAUUAACAUAUAAUUUAUUAUUUUACAUAUCUAAUUAAUAAAGUUACAUCGCAUUUAAACUAAAAUUUUAAAUUAAUUAUGUUAAAAUUAGUAUAAUAAUUUUAUUUAAUUAAGGAACUCGGCUAACCAUUAUUUACCUGUUUAUCAAAAACAUAGUCUUAUGAAAUAUAUAUAAGGUGAAACCUGCCCACUGAUAUUAAUUAAACGGCCGCAGUACCUUGACUGUGCUAAGGUAGCAUAAUAAAUUGACUUUUAAUUGGAGCCUUGAAUGAAUGGAACCAUAAAUAAUCUCUGUCUCAAUUAAACACUUACAAGUUACUUAAAAGGUGAAAAUUCCUUUAAUAUAUAAAAUAGACGAGAAGACCCUAGGAGUUUUAAUUUUUGUUGGGGCGACAAUAUAGCAUAUAACCUAUAUAAUAAAUAAUUUAUAAAACGAAUAAAUUUUAAUACUAAAUAAGCUACCCUAGGGAUAACAGCAUAAUUUAAUUUAAGUUUGUGACCUCGAUGUUGGACUAGGAACUUUUAAUAUUAACAAUAUUAACUGAUAGUUCUGUUCGA
rnacentral:rRNA from 1 species